rnacentral:rRNA from 1 species
CUCUGUGACUCCUACGGGAGCAGCAGUGGGAAUAUGCACAAAUGGGCGCAAGCCUGAUGCUGCCAUGCCGCGUGUGUGAAGAAGGCCUUCGGGUUGUAAAGCACUUUCAGUUGUGAGGAAGGUGGUGUCGUUAAUAGCGGCAUCAUUUGACGUUAGCAACAGAAGAAGCACCGGCUAACUCCGUGCCAGCAGCCGCGGUAAUACGGAGGGUGCGAGCGUUAAUCGGAAUUACUGGGCGUAAAGCGCAUGCAGGUGGUUUGUUAAGUCAGAUGUGAAAAGCCCCGGGGCUCAAACCUCGGAAACUGCAUUUGAAAACUGGCAGACUAGAGUACUGUAGAGGGGGUAGAAUUUCAGGUGUAGCAGUGAAAAUGCGUAGAGAUCUGAAGGAAUACCAGUGGCGAAGGCGGCCCCCUGGACAAAGACUGACGCUCAGAUGCGAAAGCGUGGGGAGCGAACAGGAUUAGAUACCCUGGUAG